GGCUGCUACAUCACAUUGAAAUUACGGUUUGCCGUACGAUCACUAAAGUUAAGCAACGUCAAGCCUGGUCAGUACCGAGUUGAGUCACCGCUUGGGAAUACCAGGUGUUCCA